rnacentral:tRNA from 1 species
GUAAUAUUAGUAUAAUUUUAUUAUUUUUAAUUUUCGAUUAAAAGAUUUUUUAUUAUU